GUCGCCGUGGUCGCUGCGGGCGACGAUCGGUGAUUCCUGCCUCGCCCGGAGGCGGGUCGAAUGCCGCGUCGGUGGCGAUCUCUGCGCGGCGGCGGCG
rnacentral:tRNA from 1 species